rnacentral:rRNA from 1 species
GACGAACGCUGGCGGCGUGCCUAAUACAUGCAAGUCGAGCGAAGUUUUUCUGGUGCUUGCACUAGAAAAACUUAGCGGCGAACGGGUGAGUAACACGUAAAGAACCUGCCUCAUAGACUGGGACAACUAUUGGAAACGAUAGCUAAUACCGGAUAACAGUAUUUCUCGCAUGAGAGAUAUUUAAAAGUUGGUUAUGCUAACACUAUGAGAUGGCUUUGCGGUGCAUUAGCUAGUUGGUGGGGUAAAGGCCCACCAAGGCGACGAUGCAUAGCCGACCUGAGAGGGUGAUCGGCCACACUGGGACUGAGACACGGCCCAGACUCCUACGGGAGGCAGCAGUAGGGAAUCUUCCGCAAUGGGCGAAAGCCUGACGGAGCAACGCCGCGUGAGUGAAGAAGGACUUCGGUUCGUAAAGCUCUGUUGUUAGGGAAGAAUGAAUAUGUAGUAACUAUACAUGUAAGAGACGGUACCUAACCAGAAAGCCACGGCUAACUACGUG